CGAGAGUCUUGUUUUUAAUAAAACUUGUACUUACUUUAAAAAAAAAAAACUGUACGAUAUAAUUUUCGUUAACAGCUGAGUCGAAAAUAGAGAGAACUAAAUGGAUAACAAAGAAAACGCUUGAUUGAAAUAUGAGCUGUUAUUGUCCUAUAGAAAUGUUAUAAUUAACUGUUGCACGGCAAUCGUGCUGACAAUUUGGUGACGCAAACUUCUUGUUGUUGUUACGAAGCGAGAAGUGUAAAGGGGAAGUUGGAUGAUGAGUCCAAAAGAGUGGCAAGACUCGAAAAUGAAAGAAGGAAUAAUUUGACAAAACUCAAAUCUCAGAGAGCAGAGGGAAAGCUCAGGCAAUGCCAAGUCGGCGAGAGAGGUUCUCCCGAGACGAUGCCUUGUAGCGCAGAGGAGCCGGCAAAUGCAUCGAGAACACGAAACAUAAGUCUAAGGGAGUUAAAAGAAAGUCUCCAAACUGUCGGAAAGAUGGAUCAAGCUUGGACGAGAAUGGAACCAAGAGUAGAUGAACCUCCAAGGAGACAGCAGAACAUGGGAAGUAACGAGCCUUUGAAAACGAUGCAAAACCCGCUAAUGGAAGAAGCUGCAUUAAAAGAGGCUAUCGAAAAACGUAUCCUAGAAUAUAUAGCGGGGCAUGAAAAUUUCUAGGUGCUGAAAGAAAUGAGUGAAAUCAUAGUCAGAAAAGUGAAGGAAGAAUUUUCAGGAGCGUCCUGAAAAGGCAAUUCUGCUGUGUUUUCAUCAUAAUUAUGCUAUACUUCAAUGUCGGUUUUAUCUAAUAGCAGACAAAAUAUAAGCCGAAAGCUAGAAUGGGAUAGAAAGUGGUAUCAUGAUGAGAAAGGGUUUGAAAUCGUAACCAGCUAAUUUCUAGGGCAACCAGAAAUUAAAGAAUGGACUGUUGAUGAAGAGAAUUGUACUCUUGUACCAUUUUCAUGGUACUCGUUUACACUUGGCUGUGAUCAUUUAGAAGUAGGAAUAUUUUAGGGCAAAGGAUAAUCUUAAAAACCUCUCUUCUUUUGUAUUUCGUUGUGAUGGGCCCAUCUUCCUAGCUCGGGUAGCCAAUCACAACACAGGAUUUGCUUCAUCUCGCCCACGAGCGCUGCCAGCUGUAUAACAAAUACCAAGUAUGGAGUCAAGAUGGCUGGAUAUCGCCCACGUUUUAUAAACCGAGACGAAGUUGAUGUCCAUAAAAACACACAUAAAGAACGAGGCUAAUAUCCAGCCAUCUCGACAGAACAAGUUUGGUUAAUAAAGGGUAUAUUAAAAAGGGUUGUCCAAAAACACGAUGGAGGGAUAAUCUCACCAGACAGCUGGGACCUGCAUGGUCGAGAUUGGUUAAAGUCAGAUACCUGUGGGAUCAUUCUAGGGAGGAGUUCCUCCGCCAGGUGUGAAAUUAACUCUGAUGACGAUGAUGAUGAUAUUAAAACAG